AAAGCUAUGGUUUUGCCAGUAGUCAUGUAUGGAUGUGAGAGUUGGACCUUAAAGAAGGCUGAGUGCUGAAUAAUUGAUGCUUUUGAACUGUGGUGUUGGAGGAGACUCUUGAGAGUCCCUUAGACUGCAAGAUCAAACCAGUCAAUCCUAAGGGAAAUCAGUCCUGAAUAUUCAUUGGAAGGACUGAUGCUGAAGGUGAAUCUCUAGUACUUUGGGCCGCCUGAUGCAAAGAACUGACUCCUUAGAAAAGACCCUGAUGCUGGGAAAGAUUGAAGGCAGGAGAAGGGGACACAAAGGAUGAAAUAGUUGGAUGGCAUCACAGACUCAAUGGACAUGAGUUUGAACAAGCUCUGGGAGUUGGUGAUGGACAGGGAAGCCUGGUGUGCUGUAGUCCAUGGAGUUGCAAAGACUGAGUGACUGAACUGAAUUGAGCUAGGAGUGCAGAAGCCCAGGCUCUGAGUCUUCCCCACUAAAAAGGAUCUAUAUUUCAACAGGAUUCCCGGGUGGCCUAAUGCAGAACAACAGUUGAGAAGCACUAGUGUAGAGAUUAUCCUGCUUCACAGGUGUGGAAACGGGUCCGGAAAUGGCAAGGAAUGUAUCCUAGAAGUCUUCCUUUGUGAUUCUCAAAUUGCUGUGACAAUGAUGAAAGAUGUGUCCCAGGAAAUGCAAUUACAGCGUCAAUGGCAGUAGGGGAUAUCUGUUGUGCUCAGCUGAAUUUUAACUCCUGGAGGUUUCUUAAGUAAAAAGGUGGUAAGUUGCUGAAAAGGAGAUUCUUCAUCUUCACCCAGUAAGAGGCCAGUCUUGCGGCUUUUUUAUCAAACGCUUUUCAGAAGAAAAGUAGAGUUUCUUCAUCAUUAUGGUAAUAUUCUCGUAAGUCAUACAGAUAUGUCAAGUAGAGGGAUUUUGGACAUUUGCUUUUUGGUUCUAAACAGAGAAAACUAAUAAUGAGUACAAAGACUGGAGACAGGAAAUAGGCUAAUCUUAGAAACCUCCCCUUCCCCUUAUAGUUCCCUUUCCUGUUCCCCAAGCAAGCUCUCCUGCUCAACCCUCAGAAUCCCAGACCUAUAUGGUAACUGACAGGUAAUGAUCCAUGGUGCUGACCACCUUGACUUUUCAAUACCAAUUAGGUUUUGUUCCCAUCCCUAUACAGUAAUCUCUAUUUUCAUAAUUAUCUGCUUGUCCUCAUAGUAAACAUAUAAACUGAGGAUUGGAAAAGUGAAGACAGAGAGAUGUUGAGACCAACUGGCAUGUUUGGUUUGAUUAUUGUAUUAUGACUAAACCUAUUUAUAUUUUCUUUAAAGACACUUUUGGACCUAUUGUCCUGUGCUCAGCCUGCUCUGGGAAUUAAUUGCCAGGCUUCCACAGCAAAUGGGAAUUGUGAUUAUUGAAGCUAAUCUCCGCUAAUGUGCAAAAUAAUACAUAAGCUGUUUAAACCUUUGGCUAAAGACUUCUAGAAAGCCAUGCUAAUUGGAAGGUGUCCAUGGGGCAGUGCUAAGACACUUCAGUGACAGAGAGACCUGAUGCAGGAGUGUGGAAGAAAUAGCUUUGGUUGGUUAACAUUCAAAUUUAUUAAUGCCCUUUCACAAAUGACUGGUUGAAUUUAGGUGGCUUUAUUUGAUUGGUUCUAGAGUUAAAUUGUUUCAAAUAAUGAAGACAUGAGCUAGAGGUUAUGUUUUAAGUUAAUAAUAAAACAAAAAGAAUUAUUCCUUAGAUUACA
rnacentral:lncRNA from 1 species